rnacentral:rRNA from 1 species
UGGGGAAUUUUGCACAAUGGGCCAAAAGCCUGAUGCAGCGAUGCCGCGUGGAUGAAGAAGGUCUUCGGAUCGUAAAGUCCUUUCGACAGGAAAGAAGCAAAUGACGGUACCUGGAGAAGAAGCCACGGCUAAUCACGUGCCAGCAGCCGCGGUAAGACGUGAGUGGCAAGCGUUAUCCGGAAUUACUGGGCGUAAAGAGCGCGUAGGCGACUUUGCAAGUCAGGGGUGAAAAGUCAGGGCUUAACCUUGGCCUUGCCUUUGAAACUGCAGAGAUAGAGUACAGGAUAGGAGGGUGGAACUACAAGUGUAGCGGUGGAAUGCGUAGAUAUUUGUAGGAAUGCCGAUGACGAAGGUAACUCUCUGGACUGAUACUGACGCUGAGGUGCGAGAGCUAGGGGAG